rnacentral:lncRNA from 1 species
UUUCUUUUUCUUCUUAACUUUUAUUUUGUGAUAACCUUGUUGUGAAGCACGCUUAAAUUCCCUUUAAUAUCUACUUUUUUUUGCUAUGAGCAUUCUGUAAUAAUAAAUAAGUUUUAAUUUGAAUUUCAAUAUGUUCUAGUUGUUCGGAUUGGGGGUGCCAUGUCUCGACGUAUAAUGGAAGUAGGGUAGAGUGUUAGUUCGUUCAAGGGAUCAUCGGCCUCUCUUUUGGUCUUGCGGCUAAGAUGAUCAUGGAAGGGUGGGCAAUCAGCUGGUGUAGCAACACCAGCGCAGCAGUAGAACAGCUAAAACCAACUCGGCUUUUGCAACAACUUCUUGCAGUGUCAUAACUAGUCAAUUUUAUGUGUUUUCCUAUCCCUUCUGUCUGUCCGAUCGAACCUGUGUUUGGCCUAAACCAGCACGCGAAUUUUAAUGUAAUUAUGUAUAUACAAAGCGAGCAGGUAGCACAGUGGUCUUUUUUAACAAGGCCUUUUUAUCAGCAUAGGUUUCCUUUAACCGUAGCAUCGGCUUAUUUUUGAAAUAUUAGAAAUCGGUUUCUAGUCUGCCCGGAGAGCGCAUUAUGAUAUGAAUUCGACUCAUUGCCAGCGAUUUUUAUGUUUUAGAUUACAAGUUCCAAAUCCCAAAUUGGGAAGCAGCUUCGUGUCUAGCUGUUUUUUAGAUUUACUCGAAACACACAACAGUGAUAUUUAUCGUCUGGUGUACUAAGAUUUGCAAGUUUCUGUAAUUGAAAUAUUCGUAUGUCGAGGGAUAGGGCAUGGCUUUGAUGUUUUCACAGGAUAUUGAUGGGUUUUCCUUCGUUUGUACACAUGAAAAACACGAAAUCAGAGCAGAGGCCGGCAGCGAUCUCGGGCAGCGUAGUCGGCACACGCGCAGCGUAAAGACUUCCUCUGACUUUGGCAUCAGCACAGAGAAACGCCGCAGCGACAGAAAAUCAGCUUCGUAUGGG